rnacentral:rRNA from 1 species
AUGGUUUUCUGCGUAGUUGGAUGCGUGUCGAGGUUCAUCAUCAAGAAAAUAGGCACAAGGAGGAUCCAAGGGAGGCCACAAAGGGCCAUUGAAGAAGCUAAACCAUUUGAAGACGAAAACGCAUUUGAAAGCAAUUCACUGAAAGGAGAUGUUCUUAGCUCACCUUUGAUUGAGUUCAGCACAGUUCUUUCAGCAACAAACAAUUUCAGAGACAAGCUUGGCGCUGGUGGAUUUGGUCCAGUUUACAAGGGGAGACUACCAGAUGGUCAAGAGAUUGCUAUCAAAAGGCUGUCGAACAGCUCGAGCCAGGGAUCAGAAGAGUUCAAGAACGAGGUGACUGUUCUGUCCAAACUGCAGCACCGGAACUUGGUUAGGCUUUUUGGCUGCUGUGUUCAUGGAGAAGAGAAGAUGCUGGUGUAUGAAUACAUGCCUAACAACAGCCUUGACUCAUUCAUUUUUGAUGAAACUAAGAGAUCAGUGUUGGGCUGGAAAUUGCGGUACAAUAUUAUUCAGGGUAUUGGAAAAGGAUUACUUUACCUUCAUCAGGAUUCCACACUGAGAAUUAUCCAUAGGGACCUCAAAGCGAGCAAUGUUCUGCUCGAUGAUGAUUUCAUCCCCAAGAUAUCUGACUUUGGCAUGGCUAGAAUUUUCGGCGAAUACCAACGUCAAGCCCUUACUCACCGAAUUGUUGGAACCUAUGGCUAUAUCGCCCCAGAGUACGCGAUGGAGGGAAAAUUCUCCGAGAAAUCCGACGUCUUCAGUUUCGGCGUGUUGAUCCUGGAGAUCGUGUGUGGCCGUAGGAACAGCUCCCUCAUCGAUCACGAAUGGUCAAUGAACCUCGUGGGCCACGCAUGGACCAUGUGGCAGGAGGGCCGCGCCUCGGAGCUCAUCGACACGCUGAUGGGCACCACGUACUCUAAGGAUGAGGUCUGCAGGUGCGUCCAGGUGGGUCUCCUGUGCGUGCAGGAGCUACCGGGCGACAGGCCGGCCAUGCCUCUCGUGCUGAGGAUGCUGUGUGGUGACGUCGAGCUUCCCGCUCCGAAGCGUGCCGCGUUCUUCGUCGGAAGAGCUCCUGCCGACAACAAGGAUACCGAAUCAGGGAACCACUUGACCUAUACUGAAUUGGAAGGCAGGUAG